GACGAACGCUGGCGGCGUGUUUUAGGCAUGCAAGUCGAACGGCAGCACGGACUUCGGUCUGGUGGCGAGUGGCGAACGGGUGAGUAAUACAUCGGAACGUGCCCAGUCGUGGGGGAUAACGUAGCGAAAGCUACGCUAAUACCGCAUACGAUCUACGGAUGAAAGCGGGGGAUCGCAAGACCUCGCGCUAUUGGAGCGGCCGAUGUCGGAUUAGCUAGUUGGUGGGGUAAAGGCUCACCAAGGCGACGAUCCGUAGCUGGUCUGAGAGGACGACCAGCCACACUGGGACUGAGACACGGCCCAGACUCCUACGGGAGGCAGCAGUAGGGAAUUUUGGACAAUGGGGGGAACCCUGAUCCAGCCAUGCCGCGUGAGUGAAGAAGGCCUUCGGGUUGUAAAGCUCUUUCGGACGGAAAGAAAUCGCACGGGCUAAUAUCCCGUGUGGAUGACGGUACCGUAAGAAGAGGCACCGGCUAACUACGUGCCAGCCGCCGCCGUAA
rnacentral:rRNA from 1 species